UUCGGAUUGCAGGCUGCAACUCGCCUGCAUGAAGUCGGAAUUGCUAGUAAUCGCGGAUCAGCAUGCCGCGGUGAAUACGUUCCCGGGCCUUGUACACACCGCCCGUCACACCAUGGGAGUCGGUAACACCCGAAGCCGAUAGUCUAACGGAAAGAGGACGUCGUCGAAGGUGGGAUUGAUGACUGGGGUGAAGUCGUAACAAGGUACC
rnacentral:rRNA from 1 species